UACAGAGGUCUCAAGCGUUGUUCGGAUUCAUUGGGCGUAAAGGGCGCGUAGGCGGCGCAACAAGUCACUUGUGAAAUCUCCGGGCUUAACUCGGAAAGGUCAAGUGAUACUGUUGUGCUAGAGUGCGGAAGGGGCAACUGGAAUUCUCGGUGUAGCGGUGAAAUGCGUAGAUAUCGAGAGGAACACCUGCGGCGAAGGCGGGUCUCUGGGCCGAUACUGACGCUGAGGAGCGAAAGCGUGGGGAGCGAACAGG
rnacentral:rRNA from 1 species